UAGAUGUUCUGGGCCGCACGC
rnacentral:siRNA from 1 species